ACGAUAUAGAUUCUAGUGAAUUUGAAGGCAUUUCUGGUUACUUACAGAAAUUGUUCUAAAAAUUGACUGGGAAACCCAUUUGGCUGCUAGAAAAGGCGCAUUAAAUUGCUUUAUAAAUCCCAAUUGUUUUACAAAUUCAUUUAAUUCUUUUUACUCUUAUUUCAACAAGUUUAUGAAAUUCAUUCAAACAAACUAUGAUCAUUCUUUCAAAUCAACGUUUUACUACUAGGCUGACAGUUUCAAUAUUUCAAUGUUCUCAACUUAUUGUAGUACUUAAUGAGAGAGAGAAAUUAGUUUAUCUUCAAGAUAUAAACAAAUCCUCAAUUUUCUUAUUGAAAUGAAUCUUGAUCGUAAUAUUCGAUGUAACAGU